rnacentral:lncRNA from 1 species
CCUCUUAUUGGCAUGACGUCAGCUAGCCAUGAGUAACAUCACUCCGCAAUGUGCGUAUUAACCAUCAGCUAGCCGGAGUAACAUCACUCCCAAGCGUUUUAACCAUCAGCUAGCCUGAGUAACAUCACUCCCAAGCGUAUUAACCAUGAUGUAUCAUUUUCUCCUAUAGUUAGUUGUUGAAACAGUACAUAGACAUUUCAGGGGACUA